rnacentral:rRNA from 2 species
UAUUAGCUUUUGUUUUAGUUUAGUUACUGGUUCGUGUGCCUUUUGCAUCAUGCUUAUGCGAUGUUUGGAGUAAUCUCUUUAAUCGAAACUUUUGGAUCUUAUUUAGUUCUUGUUUAGAAUAUAUGUCGAGUAGAUUAAAAUAAAGGAUAAAUAUGUUGUGAUAAAUUAAUCGUCAGAAGUUAUAACUAUUUUACAACUUAAUAUUUUUAAUAAGCUAUUUGGCUAUGAUGUCAAGUAGUCGAGUAUACUUACUCUAUUUUUAGUUUUAAUAGGGUUAAAAUUACCCUUUUAUAAUGAGUGUGUUAUAACUUUAAGUAAAUGGGUUUAUAGUUACUUUUAUAGGUUGUAUGACUUAAACUAGUUGUUUAUUAUAGAUGUUUAAAUAAGUAAUAAUAAUAUUUAUAUUAUUUCUCAAGUUUUGCCCGUCUGUUUAUUAAAAACAUUGUCAUAAUUAAAAAUUUAUGAUAGUACCUGCCCUAUGUGUUUAUAAAUGGCCGCAGUAUCUUGACUGUGCGAAGGUAGCAUAAUUAAUUGCCUUAUAAUUGAAGGCUUGUUUGAAUGGUUUGACGAGGUAAAGGAUGAAUAUUAUAAAUUUUUUUGAAAUUAUUAUAGAGGGCACAGAAACCUCUAAACUUAAUUAGACGGAAAGACCCCAGGAUCUUUCAGUUUUUGCUUGGGGCAAGUUAAAGUUUUUCACUUGAAUUGAGACCCUUAUGGUAUAUUGAGUUAAGUUACCCUGGGGAUAACAGUAUUAUAGCUUAAUAGAGAUCUUAUCGACUAAGCUGUUUGUUACCUCGAUGUUGACUUAGGUUUAAUUCUAGGCGUAGUAGUUUAGGAUUUAGGUCUGUUCGACCUUAUUAACCUCCAUGAGUUGAGUUAAGACCGGUGUAAGCCAGGUCGGUUCUUAUCUAUUAUUCUUGUUUGCUAGUACGAAAGGACCGCAAACUUUUUUAUU